rnacentral:rRNA from 1 species
AAUGAACGCUGGCGGCAGGCCUAAGACAUGCAAGUCGAACGCCCUAGCAAUAGGGAGUGGCGCACGGGUGAGUAACAUGUGGGAAUAUGCCUUUUGGUACGGAACAACGUUUGGAAACGAACGCUAAUACCGUAUGGUCCCUCCGGGGUAAAGAUUUAUCGCCAAAAGAUUAGCCCGCACUAGAUUAGCUAGUUGGUAAGGUAAUGGCUUACCAAGGCGACGAUCUAUAGCUGUUCUGAGAGGAAGAUCAGCCACACUGGGACUGGGACACGGCCCAGACUCCUACGGGAGGCAGCAGUGGGGAAUAUUGGACAAUGGGGGCAACCCUGAUCCAGCCAUGCCGCGUGAGUGAUGAAGGCCCUAGGGUUGUAAAGCUCUUUCGGUGGGGAAGAUAAUGACGGUACCCACAGAAGAAGCCCCGGCUAACUUCGUGCCAGCCGCCGCAGUAACAC